rnacentral:lncRNA from 1 species
GGAUCCUGGGUAAGUUUCUUGAUGUCUUGGCACCUCAGUUUCCUCAUCUUUAAAAUGGGACAGCAGUGGAACCAACCUCAUAGGGAUACUGGGAGAAUUAAAUGAGAUAAUGCAAAAAACAAACAAACAAACAAACAAAAAACCCCCGCACUGGUUCCAGAGUGUGUACCUCAUAUGACAUAUGCUCAGGAUAAAAAUGACCACCCCAAUGUACGGAUUUAGGCUGUGGGAAGGGGUCUGAUCUGGGGCCACAGGGCUUGCUUGGUAGUCACUGUAUUUGUAGGAGUACAGGUUUGGCUGCUGUAACUAAGACAGUCCAAAGUAUGGUGACUUGCCCAGAUAGAAUUUGGUCUCAUCCUAUGUGACAGGUGGCAGUCUGGGGCUUUCAGGUCAGCUCUGCAUCCUUAAGCUGGAGGAUGGCUACCUGGGUCACCUUUUAUGUUCUGAGGAGCCUGCUCUUGAUUCUCUCAUCUCCCAAAAAUAGGAACGAGAAAAGGGACUGGGAGUGGGGAGGGAAUUAUCCUUCUGAUUCUUUCUUUUUUUCUUUAAUUUUAUUGGAGCAAAGUUGACUGACACUGUUGUGUUAGUUUUAGGCGUAGAGCAAAGUGAAUCCAUCAUACAUAUAUAUCUAUCCAUUCUUUUUUUUUUUCCCAUAUAGGUUAUUAUAAACUAUUGCGUAGACUCUCCUGUGCUCUACAGUAGGUUCUUGGUUUUUUUGGUUUGUUUGUUUGUUUUGUCUUUUUGCCUUUUCUCGGGCCGCUCCAGUGGCAUAUGGAGGUUCUCAGGCUAGAGGUCUAAUUGGAACUAUAGCUGCCAGCCUACGCCAGAACCACAGCAACAUGGGAUCCGAGCCGUGUCUGCGACCUACACCACAGCUCACAGCAAUGCUGGAUCCUUAACCCACAGAGCGAGGCCAGGGAUCGAACCCACAGCCUUAUGGUUCCUAGUCGGAUUCGUUAACCACUGAGCCACAACGGGAACGCCUACAGUAGGUUCUUUUUAUGCAUCUAUUUUAUACAGUAGUGUGUAUAUGUUAUUCCCAUUUCCCAAUUCCUCUCUUCCCCAAGGGUUUCGCCUAUGGUUACCCAUAAUAUUGGUUUUGAAAUCUGUGAGCUGGUUUCUGUUUUACAAAUAAGUUCUUUGGUAUCAUUUUUAAAUUAGAUCCCCCAUAUAAGUGAUGCCAUAUGAUGUUUGUCUUUCUCUGCCUGAUUUCCUUCACUCAAUAUGAUAAUCUCUAGAUCUAUCCGUGUUGCUGCAAAGGGCAUUAUUUCAUUCUUUUUUUUAUGGCUGAAUAAAGGAAGAUGUGGUACAGACAUACGAUGGACUAUCAUCUUUCCAAUUCUUUGAGGGUAAGAUCCAGAAGGGACCCCAUCACUUCUGCCCACGUUACCACAUCACAUGACCACACCCACUGCAAGAGAGACUGGGAAACGUGCUCCUUGGUGUGAUGGCCAUGUUGCCAGCCAAAGUGUUACAUUCUGAAAGGAUGGGAGCAUAGAAAUCGGGAGACAACCAGCAGGCUGCCAGAGCCGCUCAAGAUCUCAUUAAAAAGGCAAGAAUGAUAGUUACCUUUCAAGAGGGCUCUUUGCUGGUUUUCGGCAGCAGCAGUGCUCUACACAAAGCCACACUCCCCACGAACCAGAAGGGAAUUGCGGAAAUGAUUCAAGCUCCCUGGCUGACUCAUACAUUGAGCAUCCUGGAGAGAAAAGUAGCCAUACACCCAUUGGAGGCUUGGGGUUUCGUUUAUAAUAAUAAUAAUAAUGACUUUGGCACAGAAAACUUCCUGAGGGUUAAUGAAUGACUGGCUUGGAUUAUUAGCCCAAAUCGCUGCCUGAAGUCUAUCAAUGCCUUCCAGCUUCAUUUAAUCUACAGGAAAUUCUUUGUGUACACCCAGCUAUUACUGCUUCAAUCUCACAACAUAAAAAUGAAUGGAUGCUUCAUUGGAACUUGUGGGGAAAAAAAAAAAAAAAAAA